rnacentral:rRNA from 1 species
AGUGAACGCUGGCGGUAGGCCUAACACAUGCAAGUCGAACGGCAGCACAGUAAGAGCUUGCUCUUACGGGUGGCGAGUGGCGGACGGGUGAGGAAUACAUCGGAGUCUACUUUUUCGUGGGGGAUAACGUAGGGAAACUUACGCUAAUACCGCAUACGACCUACGGGUGAAAGCAGGGGAUCUUCGGACCUUGCGCGAUUGAAUGAGCCGAUGUCGGAUUAGCUAGUUGGCGGGGUAAAGGCCCACCAAGGCGACGAUCCGUAGCUGGUCUGAGAGGAUGAUCAGCCACACUGGAACUGAGACACGGUCCAGACUCCUACGGGAGGCAGCAGUGGGGAAUAUUGGACAAUGGGCGCAAGCCUGAUCCAGCCAUACCGCGUGGGUGAAGGAGGCCUUCGGGUUGUAAAGCCCUUUUGUUGGGAAAGAAAAGCAGCAGGUUAAUACCCCGCUGUUCUGACGGUACCCAAAGAAUAAGCACCGGCUAACUUCGUG